GUGUGUGUAUUAGUGAGUGAAAGAGAGAGAGAGAGAAUUUUUUAAUCAAAAGUAUUACAAGACAUAGCCUUACUACUCAAUAUGUUCUGUGUUUCAUUACCAGUCCGUGUGUCAGCACACACAGUUAAUCGACCAUUAGUUUCAGCCAAUAUUUACAAUGCAGCAUUAUUCAGCAUUAAAAACAAUUCCUAUGUGACCAUUAUUUUACUACUCAACAACUAGCCACUGUGAAUUUAAAGAGUCUACAAACCCCUGUCAGUGGUGGCUGAAAAGUCGAGGGUUUCAUCCAAGGGCGAAACGUCUGUGAGUAAUCCGUGUCAUGUGGUGAUGCCUAGCCUUGGGUCACACUCUAGGGGCGUCUCCUUAUUGCAAGAUGGUAAUGACAGACACCUCCCUCACAGGCUGGGUCACGGUCUUAGAUGACUGUCCAGCUCACGGUCUCUGGAGUGGCCCUCAUCUGGAGUGGCAUAUAAAUUACUUUUCUUGCACAGAAAUUCCUUCUUUCUUAAUUGAGAGGUCACCAUAUGUUAGUGACAGACAACACAGCAGUGGUCUCACAUAUCAACCACCAAGGAGGGUUAUGUUCGUGUCCCCUGUUCAGGCAGGCACAACUAGUUCUUCUCUGGGCAGAGGUAAAGUUUUUGUCAGUGAGUGUAAUGUACAUACUGGGCAACUGGAAUGUGGGGGCAGACAUCCUGUUGAGGCAGUGGCUGAGGCCCAGGGAUUGGUGGCUACAUCCACAAGUGGUGGAGUCCAUAAGGCGGAGGUUCAGCAAAGUGGAGGUCGAUGUGUUCGUCUCUGAGGAGACAACACACGGCCUGCCGUGGUUCGCUCUCCCUCCUCCCACACCAUUGGGGCUAGACUCCAUGGUGCACACGUGGCCAAGGUCACAUCUGUAUGUUUUUCCCAUGAUCACUCUGCUCCCAGAAGUUCUAGCAAAAGUUCACCAAGACGGUCAACGUCUGCUGCUAGUAGCACCUUAUUGGCCAGCUCGAAUAUGGUUCUCAGAGAUAAUAUCCCUACAUCCCGGCACUCCUAGGAAUAUUCCCCUCCACAGGGAUCUACUGUAUAAAGCCAGAGGGCUGAUUUGUCACCUUCAGCCAGAGGUAUGGAAACUGUGGGGUUGGCUCCUUCUACAAUCAGGUUCUACGUAGCCACCAUUUCAGUCAGCCACACCCCUAUGGAUGGAGCCUCUGUGAGGCAACAUCCUCUAAUUUCGAGGUUUAUGUGUGGUGUCAGGUGGCUGAGGCCCAUCUGCCGGCCGCGCAUACCUUCCUGGGAUCUUCUGUGGUCCUGGAAGGUCUGUCAGGUGCCCCAUUUGAGCCCUUAGAGUCAGCCUCUGAGAAGCUUCUGACUCUAAAGGUAGCUCUUCUGCUGGCCCUGACAUCUCUCAAGCGAGUAGGAGAUCUACAAACUCUCUCUGUUGCCCCUUCCUGCCUUGACUUUG
ensembl:lncRNA